rnacentral:rRNA from 1 species
GACGAACGCUGGCGGCGUGCUUAACACAUGCAAGUCGAACGGAAAGGCCCUGCUUUUGUGGGGUGCUCGAGUGGCGAACGGGUGAGUAACACGUGAGUAACCUGCCCUUGACUUUGGGAUAACUUCAGGAAACUGGGGCUAAUACCGGAUAGGAGCUCCUGCUGCAUGGUGGGGGUUGGAAAGUUUCGGCGGUUGGGGAUGGACUCGCGGCUUAUCAGCUUGUUGGUGGGGUAGUGGCUUACCAAGGCUUUGGCGGGUAGCCGGCCUGAGAGGGUGACCGGCCACAUUGGGACUGAGAUACGGCCCAGACUCCUACGGGAGGCAGCAGUGGGGAAUAUUGCACAAUGGGCGGAAGCCUGAUGCAGCAACGCCGCGUGCGGGAUGACGGCCUUCGGGUUGUAAACCGCUUUCGCCUGUGACGAAGCGUGAGUGAUGGUAAUGGGUAAAGAAGCACCGGCUAACUACGUG